GAUGAACGCUAGCGGCAGGCUUAGUACAUGCAAGUCGAGGGGCAGCAUGACUGUAGCAAUACAGUUGAUGGCGACCGGCAAACGGGUGCGGAACACGUACAGAACCUUCCUUCGAGCGGGGAAUAGCCCAGAGAAAUUUGGAUUAAUACCCCAUAGUAUAUUGGAGUGGCAUCACUUUGAUAUUAAAGAUUUAUCACUUGAAGAUGGCUGUGCGGCUGAGUAGGUAGUUGGCGGGGUAACGGCCCACCAAGCCUGCGAUCAGUAACUGGUGUGAGAGCACGACCAGUCACACGGGCACUGAGACACGGGCCCGACUCCUACGGGAGGCAGCAGUAAGGAAUAUUGGUCAAUGGACGAAAGUCUGAACCAGCCAUGCCGCGUGGAGGAUGAAGGUCCUCUGGAUUGUAAACUUCUUUUAUAUGGGACGAAAAAAGGCUUUUCUAAGUCGUCUGACGGUACCAUAUGAAUAGGCACCGGCUAACUCCGUGCCAGCCGCCGCGGUAAAAC
rnacentral:rRNA from 1 species